GAUUGCUGCUGCCACCUGAGAGCGAGCGCUCAAUGUCAUGUCAAUGUCGUGCCCCGGAGACUCAGCCGGAAGAUAUUCCGUAGCAGACGACAGGGCCGGUGGUGUAGUCUGCUGUGUGCGCAGUACGCCGCUUCCGAUAUUCCGGCACCGUGCGAAUAUUCAACAGAAGACGAAGCGGAACUUCCGCCCCGUUUCGGUAGCAACGCUGAAGACAGCGUGGGACAAUGUAACGGACCCUAUUGUAGCCCUGAGCUUCUCAUCCAUCAAGGGAUGUCGCUGGGAAGCGGAACUCAACGAGCGGCACGUGACCUUCAAGUCUCCUUGUCGUAGGUCAGCAACGGUGACGCUCCGUGCUCGUGCACUUCUUUACGCCUGCUUCUCCUUUCGCUCUAGACUCGAAGGAUACCUGAAGGACGAUUGACACUGCUUUUCUCGUACGUGACAUAUCGGGUUCUGCCUACUUUUCUUGGGACUCAUUUCAACGCAAGAAACUGCACGUAAAGCACAGAUAUGUCGACUCGCUCGGAAACACCGGUUUAACUCCAGCUCAAGUGUAAUUAUUGCAAACCAUAACAGUACAGAGAUCCAGGAAGUGAGUGACACUCAUGCCCGACUACAAAGGACAGACGCUCUUGCACUUCGACGGAGUCUCCUCUAAAGGCUUUUGGGGAGAUUGUCUCUUUCGUACUCUCAGUACAGGGAUAUAUGAGAAAAAGCUACCUCUGGAAGCGAAACGGUGCAUCAGAUUUCACACCACGGUCAGGACGUUGUCAGAGCCCGUGUCGCGAUUCAUCGGUGUUACAUCAGACGCUAUGCCCGAAAAGCCAUCAGCAACAGCACGACAAGAACCACGUUUCGCGUAAGUAGUUAUUUUUCAACUAGGAAAUCCAGUCUUGAAAUGGGUGUCCACAUGAGCAAACAAAAAGUCAUCCAGAACAUCCAAAUAUUGUACACCAGCGCCCAGUUCAGAUCGCACGCAUUUGGAACACAAAGUGCAAAAGCAGACACCGGAAAAACACAAGUCACUCACCACCAUGUCUGGGAAGGUCUGCUGAACAGCGGAGCGUACGCACGUGUGGAAACAAUGAACUUCUCGUUACGAAAGCCUCGCUACCUUACAAGCAGGUCGGAGGCGGGAUUUGUCCGUACUACCGUUACACUGUCAUAAUUGACGCUACUGCACGAACAUCACUGUCAGGUCAAAUGAGACGUCUUAGAAGAAAAAAAAAAACAGGGAGCACAAAAUGUCGCACAGAUGGCAAGGAGGUUGCUCUCUGCUCGUCCGAGUAGUCACAGUGAUGACUGAACUGAAAUGACCCUUUCUCGUGAAUACGACACAGGAAGCGGAGCGAUAUUUCUCAGGACGGAAAUCUACUUUUUUCCGGUGAGGAUGUACCUAGACUUGCAAGACACAUGCACAAGAACAUGAAGCCGCCAAGAGGAGAAUCUCGGUGUAUUAGGCAAGCUUUGCCCCGAUAUUGUGAAGGGAACAGAGGUACCGACGAUGGAAUUGAGAUGCAAGUUGGCGCUAGUGUUCCCCAAUCGAUGUGAAUGAAAUGCACACUCCCAGGAGGAAAUGAUACAACAACCAGCGUUUGGGAGUCACCCCCGAGAGCCGGCUACAAAGCAGCACACGUCACGAAGGCAGCACCGACAAGAAAUAGAGACAAAGAGCGGCUUAAAGCAGAAAGAAGUCUACAAAUAACCCUUGGGCCCAUAGCCAAGCACAGAGACGACGCCUUGACAAAAAAAGGAAGCCACGAGACGGCGGGGAUCACCGACGAAAUAUCGAGCGAGGAACCAACUGUGAGUCAUUUGCUUCACGCUGACCGGCUCAAGGUUCCCGUAAACGACAAAGUUUCCGGUAUAGAGUGUCGGCCAGCACCAAAGAGUGAAAAAGGUGACUUGAAGUGCUGGGAUUAAGGAACUGCCAAGCAGCGCACGUUCCAGUUUCUGCUCGUGUAUACGUAUCUGAGUAACUGCGAAGUGGUCCUAAUAUGCCACACACAAUAAAUGCAUAACGGCAUACUGCAGAUAUUUAAAUAUGACUAAGGCAGCCUGUAUGAA